rnacentral:rRNA from 1 species
UACGGAGGGUGCAAACGUUGCUCGGAAUCAUUGGGCGUAAAGCGCGUGCAGGCGGCUUAUUAAGUCAAGUGUGAAAGCCCUGGGCUUAACCCAGGAAGUGCGCUUGAUACUGAUACGCUAGAGUACGGGAGAGGGUAGCGGAAUUCCCGGUGUAGAGGUGAAAUUCGUAGAUAUCGGGAGGAACACCAGUGGCGAAGGCGGCUAUCUGGACCGAUACUGACGCUGAGACGCGAAAGCGUGGGGAG